GACGAACGCUGGCGGCGUGCCUAAUACAUGCAAGUAGAACGCUGAAGAGAGGAGCUUGCUCUUCUUGGAUGAGUUGCGAACGGGUGAGUAACGCGUAGGUAACCUGCCUUGUAGCGGGGGAUAACUAUUGGAAACGAUAGCUAAUACCGCACAACAAUGGAUGACACAUGUCAUUUAUUUGAAAGGGGCAAUUGCUCCACUACAAGAUGGACCUGCGUUGUAUUAGCUAGUAGGUGAGGUAAUGGCUCACCUAGGCGACGAUACAUAGCCGACCUGAGAGGGUGAUCGGCCACACUGGGACUGAGACACGGCCCAGACUCCUACGGGAGGCAGCAGUAGGGAAUCUUCGGCAAUGGGGGCAACCCUGACCGAGCAACGCCGCGUGAGUGAAGAAGGGUUUCGGAUCGUAAAGCUCUGUUGUAAGUCAAGAACGGGUGUGAGAGUGGAAAGUUCACACUGUGACGGUAGCUUACCAGAAAGGGACGGCUAACUACGUG
rnacentral:rRNA from 1 species